AACAUUUGGGAGAUUCUUUGUCCCUUUCCCCCUAAUUAGUGGGGUUAAAUGUUAAUGUGAAAAUGCUUUAUGUAAUACUAUGAUAUAUUAGCACUCUGAUCCAAUCAUAUCAAAGUGAUUAAAAAGAAAAAAAAUGUUCAUUUGUCUCCUCGUUUACAGAUUUGGAAAAUGAAACGGAGCACCAUUCUGUUUUAUGAUUGAAGGAACAACAAGAGAGAUCACUAAUAUUCAUGCAGGGGAGUAGUGGUACUUUUAAUUUAGGGAUAAUACAUCAAAAACUCUUCAAAACUUGGCAGCACAACUUACUUUAGUACUUUAACUACAUGAGUAUUUAAAUAUCAUCUUAACAUUUUUCAACUAUUUUUUUCAAUCUUUACAACACCAGCCCAUCACGCGUGUUAAGCGUUAUCGUCCAUUUUAACGAAUUAUUUUCAUUUUCCUCAAUUAUUUAAGACCCGACCCUCACCUUCUUCUCUUCUUCCUCACCCCCCUUAAUUUCUUUCUUCUCCUUUCCCUCACUAUAAAAAUUGAGAGGAAUUAGCUCUGCAAACCCAAAAAUUGAGUAUUUGAAUCAUAAUCUUCUUCAUCUAUCCGAGAAAAAGUAAAAUAGGAUGAUGAUACUACGAAUGAAGUUGUUCGAUGCAAUCAUGGGUUUGUGGUGCGUUUGAAAACAUCUUGGACUUCAACUGAUUACGGAAAAAGAAAUUGGUCAUGUCCUUAUUAUGGGGGUCCUAGAUCUUGCUACUUUUGGUGUUGGAGGGAUAAAGAGAAUAUUGAUGCGAGGUCCAAAUUCAUAAUUCAUAAACUAAUAGAGAAAUUGAGUGAGCUUGAGAAUUUAGUGGAAUCUUCUCAAACGUUAGCUAAUGAAUUUGUGAAAUUGAUUGAGAAUUUUGAAGAAGUUGACAAGCCUAGAGAUUUCAAUUAGACGAUAAUUGUCCAGAUAUGAAAUUGAAAAAGUUGAAAGAAGAGGUUGAGAAGUUGAAAGAAAGCAAGAAUUGGAGAAGAACUACGGAGAAUGUAUUUUUUUUCACUGUCCUUUGUUGUUGUGUUAUAGCUGUAGCUAUAAGCUAUUGGUUUAGAAUGAUAGAUAUGAAGAGAUGUUCAAUGAAGUUACCUUAGGUUGUUGAUGUUAUUAGAUUAAGAGUUCUGUUAGAUUAAUGUUAGUAUAAUAUCCUUUGUGUUUUAAUCAAUUAAGUGUAACCUCUUUUGUAAUGAACUUUGUCUUGAUUUCUUAAUAAAUUGUAGUUUGUUUGUC